GGCAAGUAAGUUUGCGUUGCUGGCUGAUGAUGUUGGCUCGGAUAGGAAAAAAGGAGUAGCGGAAGGGCAGUAGUAGCUGCUGAGAUUGAGCGGAUAGUGGAGGCAGCCUCAUGUUAGCAGCUGCUGCCAAAGGGUAGAAGAAAGGGAGUGGAAGGAUAGGAGGUUGGUAAGCCACACCAGCAGGCAAUGCUGUGUGUGGCGCGGUAGCUGAAGGCGCCGCAGUGAUUGGUUGAGAAGAGAAGGGAGGCAGUGCAGUGUGAGGUGCCGCCCAGGCUUGCUGACAGCCUGCUGCAUCUUGAAGCUCGAGGGGAGUCGGAACUUGAUCUGGAAGAAGACGAAGUUAUAGAGACAUUAAAACUUUUUGUCUUACAGGCUUUAGUUACCUUUUUGGAGGUGGGUGAAUUAUUAUUUUCCAGAGAAACGUAUGCUUGUCUCAAUCGUGCGACGGUCCAUUUCCCAAUGAUAGAGAUGGAUGGUGAAGCUGAGGCAUAUGAAGAUGUUGGGGAUUGUGAUAGCUGUCUUAAUGGUGGAGGUGAACAGAGUCUUCAUGGAUUAGAAGUGCGAGUAGCUGGCCUUGUGGGCCUCCGCCUAAACACCGAGGCCUGGGGCUCGGCGGUGAAACCAGGCUGAGUGAGCACCUUGGAGCUGGAAAAAGGAGGUGCCUUUGAGCCAGAGACUUGAGAAGGAGGUGCUUUUGAGCCGGAGGCUUGAGAAAGAGAUGCCUUAGAGCAGGUGGCUUGCAGUGGAGCAUCCAGCUCAUUGUCAGAAAGAGCUUGAGUUUGGACAUUUUUUGGCAGUCGAAUGAAGCUGGAUGCUGGAAAACUGUCAUAGAAUAGAGAUAAGUAUAGAGGGCUGUGCGCAGCCGAGCAACUGCCAUUGAGAUGGAUGGGAAAGCUGACAGAUCGCUUUCUCCAGAGUUUCAGUGCAAGACCAGCACAGCUGGACAACAACAGCUCCAAGCCUGAUCUGUCCAGGACUGUCAUCUGCCAGCGGUUCCUGCCAUCUGUUCUGGUGUAUAUGGGUCACUUUAAUCCUGUGUCAAGAGGACAUGACAGCACAUGCAGCAUUCAAGACAUCUCAAAAUGGCCAAGAACCCAGUUUCAUCCAGUAGACCUGAACUUACACAUGACUUCAUACGCUCAAACCGCUAGAGAUGUGCGUUGGGUUUCAGCCAGCUCCUAUCAUGGGAUCCUCACUCAAACAACCCGCUGAUUUAUGCCUGAAUUCAAUUAGCCUGAUUUCACCUCAUCAGUCAAGAUGGAUUGAGAUAUCAAACCUGCUGUCAUGCCGCCUCCUGCAGGGUUAGCGCUGUCAUAUCAGACGAUUAGGUCGGGUUUGCUCAUUUGCAUUCUCCACCAAUGCUUAUUGUGCAUGUCUCUGUUUUAUAUAGUUGUGAAUAUACUUUCCUUAUUUAUUCAGAAUACUCAAUACUUGAUUCUGAUUGGUCAAUUGCAUCAUUGCGAAGUGUGUUAUUCUACAAUAGCAAUGUUGAAUAAUUUACCAUUCAUUCGGGUAUCUCUGACAAUGUUUUUUGGAAAUAAAAUAAAAUAAAAUAAAAAGUUUAUCUUCCCU
ensembl:lncRNA